rnacentral:rRNA from 1 species
ACGGGGGGUGCAAGCGUUAUUCGGAAUUACUGGGCGUAAAGAGCGUGCAGGCGGCUGGACAAGUCUGAUGUGAAAGCCCGGGGCUUAACCCCGGAAGGGCAUUUGAAACUGUUUAUCUUGAGUAAUGGAGAGGAAAGGAGAAUUCCCGGUGUAGAGGUGAAAUUCGUAGAGAUCGGGAGGAACACCAGUGGCGAAGGCGACUUUCUGGACCGAAACUGACGCUGAGACGCGAAAGCGUGGGGAGCAAACAG